CUUGAGACCAAGCACAUGGAGUCCUUGAAGUCAAGUUACUCUGCUACGAGCCUCCAAAAUGAACAGGUAGAUUGGACAGGUCUUGUGUGCACAGUAACACCUACUGAUCUACCUACAACA